rnacentral:rRNA from 1 species
CAGCCGCCGCGGGAAUACGGAGGGUGCAAGCGUUAAUCGGAAUUACUGGGCGUAAAGCGCACGCAGGCGGUCUGUCAAGUCAGAUGUGAAAUCCCCGGGCUUAACCUGGGAACUGCAUUUGAAACUGGCAGGCUAGAGUCUUGUAGAGGGGGGUAGAAUUCCAGGUGUAGCGGUGAAAUGCGUAGAGAUCUGGAGGAAUACCGGUGGCGAAGGCGGCCCCCUGGACAAAGACUGACGCUCAGGUGCGAAAGCGUGGGGAGCAAACAGGAUUAGAUACCCGUGUAGUCCCUGUCUCUUAUAC